rnacentral:snRNA from 1 species
AGCUUUGUGCAGUGGCAGCAUUGUAGCCAAUGAGGCUUAUCUGAGGCACGAUUAUUACUAACUGAAAAUGGGGAAGG